rnacentral:lncRNA from 1 species
ACAGAUAGAUACAUAUACACAUCAUAUACCUUCAUUCAUUCGUUCGUACCUUCAUUCAUUCGUACCAUCGUUCGUACCGUGACAAAAAUACGUACGAAGGUAUAUAAAAACUGGUAUAAAUAAAUGUAAAUAUCCAACCCUAUUUAAAUACCCGUUUAUAUGAGUAAACAUCGUGUGACAACUAUAAGGGACACUGACUCAAAAUUCUCGAGCUAAAAAUCCAAAAAUGUCGACAAUGUAUGGAACAGAUAGACCAUCGUUCUUGAUUUAAUGAUGUCAAAAAUGUCUAUAUUGUCGUAAGCCUAAACGUCGUAUCUGACGACGCAAACUCGUCAACACCAAUGCGCGCUCCCGAUGAUGGCAUUCUCCAUGUUUGGCGCCGAACAACGUGAUGGCAAGCGGUCCAGCGCGCGUGCCGUCCAUACUUGGCGCCACAGGGAAAAAAAGACACGCGCGACCAAAUUUUAGUCGACGAGUAAGCGAAAUCAACGAGUCAACGAUUAGCGCGGAUUUUCGGAUUUUUAAGGCGCCUCAUUUUUAAUAUUACCUUCGAAGGUAUGACAGGGGUGUAGUAAUUACGAAGGUAUUUAAUAAACCAGCCUUUUGAAAAUCAGAGAAUUUGCUCAUAGGACAACGAACACGCACACGGGCAACUAACGAGGAGCCCGACAAAGUUGUUGCGACCGAUUCACCCCCUUGCCAUCGAGCAGUCGCGCCUCCCGCGGGGCCAAACGAUGAGGUGGAUCUCUGCGUCAUGAGGCACUUUGUCAAAAAUCGGUCGCAACAACUUUUAAGGGACGGGCAACGGGAAAAAGAGGGUUUUAUUUUGUGCAGAUAAAACAACGCGGCUGAAUGCCGCCGAGAGUGGGUGGUACGAAGCGUAUAAUUUCGGCUCAUUUACAGGAUUUGGGUGGGGAAACUUAUAAAUGUUAUGAAACGUCCCCCAAAUCAGUGUUCGAAAAACCACACCACCGCAACACUCGCCCCCUGCAGAACUUUAUUUUAUACGAAGGUAUUCUGGAUUUCAGGCAGCUGUAUGUGGACACCCCGGAGAUAAUAAUAAUAAUAAUAAUAACAAUAAUAAUAAUAAUAAUAAUAAUAAUACCUUAUGGGAGGAUUAACUCAAGAAUGACGAGUUAUCUGAAAAUUGUCAACCGGGCGGACAAAUCUGGAAAAUUUUCCCCUCGGGGGUGUUCACAUCUGCCUGAAAUCCAGAAUACCGAGGUAUUUAUUACCUUCGGAGGUAAUAUACCCCCGAAGGCACGAAUAAGGUACGAAGGUAGUAUCAAUAUAUAUAUGAAGGUAGUCUAUUUAUUGCGCGAAUAGCUUGGAUGGGUUUUUAUUUCAGAUCCAGCAUCUGCACGAAGCUUACGAAUUCUCAACCAUGCAUGCAUGAGGUUUCGUGACAAAUAAAGAGUGACGCAGGUGUAAAAUAAUAAAAUAUUAUCACACGAA